CACAGAAAUGUAGAAAAGUAUAAAGAAAAGGAACGCGAAACGGCGAACUCUGCACAGUCGUAGGAGACCUGCGCGUUAGCGCAUUGAUUGAAUUUUGUACGGGCACGCUGAUGGAAGAGAGGGAAACCGUGGAACGACGGGGGAUGGGCUGGCGGAGGGUUGCUAGAUUUUUGAGAGUGGGGAAGGAUCGAGCGGGGAUUCGAAGCGACGGGUCGUCGUCGGGUCGGCGAAAUUGUCGGGGGUGAAGCUAACAGCGCAUACCGUCUUACCGAAUCUCUUCACUAUCCUCCUCCUCUUUUAAAACUGAGAAGUUGCUUCCAGCUUUUCUUAUAUCCUUCUUCCUCUUUUCCC